rnacentral:rRNA from 1 species
CCUACGGGAGGCAGCAGUGAGGAAUUUUUCGCAAUGGGCGCAAGCCUGACGGAGCAAUACUGCGUGGAGGAUGAAGGCCCGUGGGCUGUAAACUCCUUUUCCCAAAAAAGAAGUUCUGACGGUAUUUGGGGAAUAAGCAUCAGCUAACUGCGUGCCAGCAGCUGCGGUAAUACGUGGGAUGCAAGCGUUAUCCGGAUUUAUUGGGCGUAAAGCGUCUGUAGGUGGCUUUGCAAGUUUGUUGUUAAAGAAUUCAGCUCAACUGGGUUUCAGCAUCAAAAACUACUAAGCUUGAGUCAAGUAGAGGAAAAGGGAAUUCCCUGUGGAGCGGUGAAAUGCGUAGAGAUAGGGAAGAACACCAAAGGCGAAGGCACUUUUCUGGGCAUUGACUGACACUGAGAGACGAAAGCUAGGGGAGCGAGUAGGAUUAGAUACCCUAUUAGUCCUAGCCGUAAACGAUGGAAACUACAUUUUGAUGAAAUCUUUUUAGCGUAAGUAAGAAGACAGGGGCAGAAUGGCAGCUAACGCGGUAAGUUUCCCGCCUGGGAAGUAUGCUCGCAAGAGUGAAACUCAAAGAGUAGUGCGUGNGAGAGCGACGACGACGACGACGGAGGAGGAGG